rnacentral:rRNA from 1 species
GGGGAACCCUGAUCCAGCCAUGCCGCGUGUGUGAAGAAGGCCUUAUGGUUGUAAAGCACUUUAAGCGAGGAGGAGGCUCUUUUGGUUAAUACCCAAGAUGAGUGGACGUUACUCGCAGAAUAAGCCCCGGCUAACUUCGUGCCAGCAGCCGCGGUAAUACGAAGGGGGCUAGCGUUGCUCGGAAUCACUGGGCGUAAAGCGCACGUAGGCGGAUCGUUAAGUCAGGGGUGAAAUCCUGGGGCUCAACCUCAGAACUGCCCUUGAUACUGGCGAUCUCGAGUUCGAGAGAGGUUGGUGGAACUCCGAGUGUAGAGGUGAAAUUCGUAGAUAUUCGGAAGAACACCAGUGGCGAAGGCGGCCAACUCGCUCGAUACUGACGCUGAGGUGCGAAAGCGUGGGGAGCAAACA